rnacentral:rRNA from 1 species
GAUGAACGCUGGCGGCGUGCCUAAUACAUGCAAGUCGAGCGAACGGACGAGAAGCUUGCUUCUCUGAUGUUAGCGGCGGACGGGUGAGUAACACGUGGAUAACCUACCUAUAAGACUGGGAUAACUUCGGGAAACCGGAGCUAAUACCGGAUGAUAUUUUGAACCGCAUGGUUCAAAAGUGAAAGACGGUCUUGCUGUCACUUAUAGAUGGAUCCGCGCUGCAUUAGCUAGUUGGUAAGGUAACGGCUUACCAAGGCAACGAUGCAUAGCCGACCUGAGAGGGUAAUCGGCCACACUGGAACUGAGACACGGUCCAGACUCCUACGGGAGGCAGCAGUAGGGAAUCUUCCGCAAUGGGCGAAAGCCUGACGGAGCAACGCCGCGUGAGUGAUGAAGGUCUUCGGAUCGUAAAACUCUGUUAUUAGGAAAGAACAUAUGUGUAAGUAACUGUGCACAUCUUGACGGUACCUAAUCAGAAAGCCACGGCUAACUACGUG